rnacentral:rRNA from 1 species
UCAGAUUGAACGCUGGCGGCAGGCCUAACACAUGCAAGUCGAGCGGUAACAUUUCUAAGCUUGCUUAGAAGAUGACGAGCGGCGGACGGGUGAGUAAUGCUUGGGGAUCUGCCUGAUGGCGGGGGACAACCACUGGAAACGGUGGCUAAUACCGCAUAAUACCUAUGGGUCAAAGUGUGGGACCUUCGGGCCACACGCCAUCAGAUGAACCCAAGUGAGAUUAGCUGGUUGGUAAGGUAACGGCUUACCAAGGCGACGAUCUCUAGCUGGUCUGAGAGGAUGAUCAGCCACACUGGGACUGAGACACGGCCCAGACUCCUACGGGAGGCAGCAGUGGGGAAUAUUGGACAAUGGGGGCAACCCUGAUCCAGCCAUGCCGCGUGUGUGAAGAAGGCCUUCGGGUUGUAAAGCACUUUCAGUGGUGAGGAAGGUGGUGUCGUUAAUAGCGGCAUCAAUUGACGUUAGCCACAGAAGAAGCACCGGCUAACUCCGUGCCAGCAGCCGCGGUAAUACGGAGGGUGCGAGCGUUAAUCGGAAUUACUGGGCGUAAAGCGCACGUAGGCGGUAUGUUAAGCAAGAUGUGAAAGCCCAGAGCUCAACUCUGGAAUAGCAUUUUGAACUGGCAUGCUAGAGUUUUGGAGAGGGUGGUAGAAUUUCCAGUGU